rnacentral:misc_RNA from 1 species
GAAAUGCGAUAAGUAGUGUGAAUUGCAGAAUUCAGUGAAUCAUCGAAUCUUUGAACGCACAUUGCGCCCCUUGCUAUUCCAUGGGGCAUGCCUGUUCGAGCGUCAUUUGUACCCUCAAGCUCUGCUUGGUGUUGGGUGAUUGUCCCCGUCUCCGCGCGUGGACUCGCCCCAAAGUGAUUGGCAGCCGGCGUACUGGUCCCGGAGCGCAGCACAUGUCGCGCAAACGAGUGCCUUGGUACGGCGGCGUCCAUAAGCCCCUCUCUCACGCUCUUGACCUCGGAUCAGGUAGGGAUACCCGCUGAACUUAAGC